UCCAGGCGCAUGAGGAUCUCGGGGCACCUCCCACCCGUGUUGCCCGAACCUAUGUUGCCUCGGCGGGCCCCGCGCCCGCCGACGGCCCCCCUGAACGCUGUCUGAAGUUGCAGUCUGAGACCUAUAACGAAAUUAGUUAAAACUUUCAACAACGGAUCUCUUGGUUCCGGCAUCGAUGAAGAACGCAGCGAAAUGCGAUAACUAAUGUGAAUUGCAGAAUUCAGUGAAUCAUCGAGUCUUUGAACGCACAUUGCGCCCUCUGGUAUUCCGGAGGGCAUGCCUGUCCGAGCGUCAUUGCUGCCCUCAAGCCCGGCUUGUGUGUUGGGCCCCGUCCCCCCCGCCGGGGGGACGGGCCCGAAAGGCAGCGGCGGCACCGCGUCCGGUCCUCGAGCGUAUGGGGCUUCGUCACCCGCUCUAGUAGGCCCGGCCGGCGCCAGCCGACCCCCAACCUUUAAUUAUCUCAGGUUGACCUCGGAUCAGGUAGGGAUACCCGCUGAACUUAAGCAUAUCAAUAAAAGGA
rnacentral:rRNA from 1 species